CUUAGGCAUAACCAAAACCCGUUUAAAGUGACUUGUAAGGGGAAGAAUGGGGUCUCCAAUGGCCUCUUCUUUACUCACUACUCUAAUGGCAAUACUCUCUCUAAAUUUUAUAUCUCAAAUCUCAGCUAACAACUCGGUCCACUCAUCUUCACCACCACCACCAAAGUUUCCUUACCAUUACUCAUAUCCACCCCCACCUCCCAAAAAACCCUACAAAUAUCCAUCACCUCCACCACAAAUAUAUAAGUACAAGUCUCCUCCACCACCGCUACCAAAGAAGCCCUACAAAUAUCCAUCACCUCCACCACCAAUAUAUAUGUACAAGUCACCUCCGCCACCGAUAUAUAAGUACAAGUCUCUUCCACCACCGCCACCAAAGAAGCCCUACAAAUAUCCGUCACCUCCACCACCAGUUUACAAGUACAAGUCUCCUCCGUCACCAUCACCAAAGAAGACCUACAAAUAUCCAUCACCUCCACCACCAGUUUACAAGUACAAGUCGUCACCCCCACCUUAUAAGUACCCAUCUCCACAACAACCUCUACAACUAUCGCAACAAACUACCAAUUACUAUUACAAGUCACCACCACCGCCACAUAGGAAGCCCUAGAAAUACCAAUUUCCUCCACCACCACCUAAGAAGCAAUACAAGUAUAAUUCAUCUCAACCACCACCGGUCUACAAGUACAAGUCAUUUCCUCGCCCUCACCACUACUAAAUAGUUAGUAGUAUAGCCCUUAGUACAUACGGAUCCGAAGAACAGUCGCAAAUAAAGUAAAGAUGGUGGGUUUUGGAACAUUAUUUUUUGUUAUAUUUCACCUUUUUUUUUUAUUUGGUUUGUAUUUUGUAAUAUUUUGUUUUGGUAUUUGUCAUUGUUUGAAGGCACUGUUCUAAUAUGAUGAUAUAUAAAUAAAUAUAUGUUGAUUUCUGUGAUAUGUGCAA